rnacentral:rRNA from 1 species
GACGUAGGGGGCGAGCGUUGUCCGGAUUUAUUGGGCGUAAAGAGCUCGUAGGCGGCUUGUCACGUCGGGUGUGAAAGCCCGGGGCUUAACCCCGGGUCUGCAUUCGAUACGGGCUAGCUAGAGUGUGGUAGGGGAGAUCGGAAUUCCUGGUGUAGCGGUGAAAUGCGCAGAUAUCAGGAGGAACACCGGUGGCGAAGGCGGAUCUCUGGGCCAUUACUGACGCUGAGGAGCGAAAGCGUGGGGAGCGAACAGG